UCUGCUCCCAUGGUGCAGGGAAAAUAACCUGGUUCUUAAUACUAACAAGGCAAAGGAGGCUUUAUGGUGGACUAUAGAAGGAAUAGCUCAAAACAAGUUUAAAGCGCUUGACUAUAAAUGGAAGUCAAGUAGAGCGGGUGGCUGGUUUGCACAAUUCUGGAGCAUCGUAGUUAAAGAGGACUUGACCUGGGGCGUACAGACUGCCGCGGUGGUUAAGAAGGCCCAGCAAAGACUGUACUAUCUGAGACUUUU